UGUCCAAUGCGGGGAUCGAACCCGGGUCGUAGUGGUCGUAAACCAAACGGUUUAACCAGAACAUAAAACAAGGUAAUAAGAC